AUGACACGUAUAAUUUCCGAGAUGCGCACUGGUAACAAGCGGACCCUACGCAGCAUCACCAUCAUCAUCGCCACUGCUCAACUGAACACAAUGGAUGGGAUUCAGAACUCCGGCUCCCUCAUCACAGCAAAUCUCACGUCCUCACUGACCCUCUCACUGAGGUACCUGGCUGCUUUGUUCCCACAUUGACGACAACUGAGAACUGCUUCCCGUCCUGAGUAGAAAGGCUGCUCAGAUACGAUGAGGCACUAAAGAGCAGUGAAUGUCUGGCCAAACUAUAAGUGACAAGAAACCAAGCUUAUUAUUAAAUCAGUCUCUGCAGGAUUGCUUCAGAAUAUCAUGUCUAUUUUUUUUUAUCUUUAUUUAUUUUUGGGGGGGGGGGGGGUGGUGAGAGAGAGAGGGAGACACAGAAUCCAAGGCAGGCUCCAGGCUCUGAGAUGUCAGCACCAAGCCCGACGCGGGGCUUGAAACCACGGAUCGCGAGAUCAUGACCUGAGCCGAAGUCAGAAGCUUAACCCACUGAGCCACCCAGGCGCCCCAGAAUGUCAUGUCUUAAAUGAGAAAAUGGCUACUAUGUCUUGAAAUAUUACAGCCAAUAUUCAUUUCACACUUACCCCUUGUCAAGCACUGUGCUAGAUUUGGGAGAAAUCAACUCCUCAAUCUUGACCACAGCCAGGUGAAGUAGGACUCAUAAUCAUCCCCAUUCCACAGAUGAAAACUAGAGGCUCCGAGAAGUUAAGGAACUUUUCUGAGGUUACACAGCUAGUUAGCAACACAAAUAACACCCGAACUCAGGUCAACCUGACCUAAAAGCUAUCCUUAGUGUAGCUCUAGUCAAAGUCUCUCACACCCGUAGGCCACCUCUCACUAAAGUCAGCUAAAGAGAUCAUAUUCCUCUUUUUCUUUUAUUCUUCAGGCAUCAACUCAGAAGUCCUCUCCUCCAGAAUCCCCCUUGAUUCCCAAUUUGCCUUAUGCUCCCUGAUGAGCCUAUACAGUACUCAGUACACAGCACUUCUUAUAACAUCUGAUCUCUCCCUCCAGACCAGGAGCUUAAGGAGGGCAAAGGCCAAGUUUGUGAUGUUCAUGGUGAGCAAGAGAGUGUCUAGACCCUCCUAGGCACCGUGGACAUA
rnacentral:lncRNA from 1 species